rnacentral:rRNA from 1 species
AGUGAACGCUGGCGGUAGGCCUAACACAUGCAAGUCGAACGGCAGCACAGUAAGAGCUUGCUCUUACGGGUGGCGAGUGGCGGACGGGUGAGGAAUACAUCGGAAUCUACUUUUUCGUGGGGGAUAACGUAGGGAAACUUACGCUAAUACCGCAUACGACCUACGGGUGAAAGCAGGGGAUCUUCGGGCCUUGCGCGAUUGAAUGAGCCGAUGUCGGAUUAGCUAGUUGGCGGGGUAAAGGCCCACCAAGGCGACGAUCCGUAGCUGGUCUGAGAGGAUGAUCAGCCACACUGGAACUGAGACACGGUCCAGACUCCUACGGGAGGCAGCAGUGGGGAAUAUUGGACAAUGGGCGCAAGCCUGAUCCAGCCACACCGCGUGGGUGAAGAAGGCCUUCGGGUUGUAAAGCCCUUUUGUUGGGAAAGAAAAGCAGCAGGUUAAUACCCCGCUGUUCUGACGGUACCCAAAGAAUAAGCACCGGCUAACUUCGUG